UAUGUGAUCGUCUCUCGCAUAUCAAUAAGCGGAGGAAAAGAAACUAACAAGGAUUCCCCUAGUAACGGCGAGUGAAGCGGGAAGAGCUCAAAUUUGAAAUCUUAAAGGGUUUCCCUUUACGAAUUGUAGUUUAAAGAAGUGUUUUCUGUUGAGGUUUUGGUAAAAGUUCUUUGGAAUAGGACAUCAUAGAGGGUGAGAAUCCCGUAUUUGACCUUUACUUUCAACUUUGUGAUACACUUUCAAAGAGUCGGAUUGUUUGGGAAUGCAGUCCAAAAUGGGUGGUAAAUUUCAUCUAAAGCUAAAUAUUGGCGAGAGACCGAUAGCGAACAAGUACCGUGAGGGAAAGAUGAAAAGAACUUUGAAAAGAGAGUUAAACAGUACGUGAAAUUGUCAAAAGGGAAGCGUUUGACACCAGUGUUGUUUUUCUGAAAAUCAAUUAAAGAACUGUUUAUGCUAAGCUUGUUUAGACUUUAUCAGCUAACUGUUUAGUUUUGAGCUUUUCUUUAAUGCACUUUUCAGUUAACAAGUCAACAUCAAUUUCUUUUGCUGUAAAAAAGCUUGAGGAAGGUGGCUUGAGAUUCGUCUUAAGUGUUUAUAGCCUCUUGCCUAUGCAGUCGGAGAGAUUGAGGUCUGCAGCGUAGAUCCUUCGGGGCUAAAUGCAUUUGUGCUAAGUUAUAGCAUUUUAUAGACAACUUGUUGACUAUGAUUUGUCUUGUAGCUUACUCGCUUAUGUUAUUUUACCUACGCUUAGGAUGUUGAAGUCAUCGUAUCGCGC
rnacentral:rRNA from 1 species